GAUGAAGAACGCAGUGAAAUGCGAUAACUAGUGUGAAUUGCAGAAUUCCGUGAAUCAUCGAGUCUUUGAACGCUCAUUGCGCCCCCUGGUAUUCCGGGGGGCAUGCCUGUCCGAGCGUCAUUGCUGCCCAUCAAGCACGGCUUGUGUGUUGGGUCGUCGUCCCCUCUCCGGGGGGGACGGGCCCCAAAGGCAGCGGCGGCACCGCGUCCGAUCCUCGAGCGUAUGGGGCUUUGUCACCCGCUCUGUAGGCCCGGCCGGCGCUUGCCGAACGCAAAUCAAUCUUUUUCCAGGUUGACCUCGGAUCAGGUAGGGAUACCCGCUGAACUUAAGCAUAUCAAUAAGCGGAGGA
rnacentral:misc_RNA from 1 species